rnacentral:rRNA from 1 species
GGGUUAGGACUGCAUUUAGCAUUGACAAAGGUUAGCUGAACUGCAUGGGAAGGCAGACUGGAAAGGGUGAGAGUCCCGUAAGCGAAAACUAAAGUCAGCGAGCAGUAUCCAGAGUACCGCAAGACACGUGAAACCUUGUGGGAAGAUGGGGGGACCACCCUCCAAGCCUAAAUACUACCCAGUGACCGAUAGUGCAGAGUACUGUGAAGGAAAGGUGAAAAGGACCCCGGGAGGGGAGUGAAAUAGAACCUGAAACCCUAAGCUUACAAGCACCGAGAGCACGUCAAAGUGUGAUCGGGUACUUUUUGUAGAACGGUCCGGCGAGCGUAUGUACGUAGCAAGGUUAAGUUCUUCAGGAACGGAACCGAAGCGAGAGCAAGUCUGAAUAGGGCGUCAAGUUACGUGCAUAGGGCCCGAAACCGGGUGACCUAUCCAUGUCCAGGCUGAAGUUGGGGUAAGACCCAAUGGAGGGCCGAACCGACCUCCGUUGAAAAGGCGGCGGAUGAGGUGUGGAUAGCGGAGAAAUUCCAAUCGAACCCGGAGAUAGCUGGUUCUCCCCGAAAUAGCUUUAGGGCUAGCGUUGUAUAUCAUUACCGGAGGUAAAGCACUGAAUGGCCUAGGGCCCUAACGGGUACCGAAGCCUAUCAAACUAAGAAUGCCGGAUAAUGUGAGUACAGCAGUCAGACUAUGGGAGAUAAGUUUCAUGGUCAAAAGGGAAACAGCCCAGACCCACAGCUAAGGUCCCAAAUAUGAUUUAAGUGGAAAACGAUGUGGAGUUGCGAAAACAACCAGGAUGUUGGCUUAGAAGCAGCCACUCAUUCAAAGAGUGCGUAAUA